UACAGAGGUCCCAAGCGUUGUUCGGAUUCAUUGGGCGUAAAGGGUGCGUAGGCGGCGCGGUAAGUCGGGUGUGAAAUCUCGGGCUUAACUCCGAACUGCAUUCGAUACUGCCGUGCUUGAGGACUGGAGAGGAGACUGGAAUUUACGGUGUAGCGGUGAAAUGCGUAGAUAUCGUAAGGAAGACCAGUGGCGAAGGCGGGUCUCGUGGACAGUUCCUGACGCUGAGGCACGAAGGCCAGGGAGCAAACGGG
rnacentral:rRNA from 1 species